rnacentral:lncRNA from 1 species
UCCCUGAACUGCAGGAGGAGAACCUGCAGGACUCCUGGGUAGGAUUGCACUUUUGCAAUAAUGGAAAUGGGAGCAAUGUUUCAGCUACGUUUCUAUUUAUAAUGGUGACAAAAAAAUACUGCUGGAUUCCCAGCAUGGGUCUGGAUAGAGUGCCAAAGAGUUCUCAUUGUGACAGCCCAACUCACUCAGAAACACCAUGAGACACUUUUGGGUGACCCUUCUGAAGACAGACACCGAAAGCAUUGAAGAGAAAAACAGCUCUCAGUCUGAAUAAAAUUGUAUUAAGAGGUUAAAGGUAUCUGAAAGAAAAAUUCAGAUUACAUAUAAUAUUAGCCAAGUCGACCAGAAAAUACUCCCCUGAGACAGUUUCUCUCUAAACACCCAAAAUGCACAGCCGCUCUCAACACAAGAAACACAGUGUUAUGAAGAAAGGGGGCAUAUUCUCAGCAGAAUUUCUUAAGAUUUUUCUUCCAUCUCUGCUGCUCUCUCAUCUGCUGGCCAUUGGAUUGAGGAUCU